AUGGAAGGAAACCUACUUCAGGGAACAAUUCCAGCAUCAAUGUCACAGAUGAAAGGCCUUCUAGUUCUUGAUGUUUCAAGAAACAACUUGUCCGGGGACAUCCCAGUCUUCCUCGCGGACAUGCAUGGGCUCGUUACCCUGAACAUGUCAUUCAACAAUUUUGAGGGUGAAGUUCCAAAACGUGGAUUAUUUCUGAAUGCAAGUGCAGCUCUGAUUGAAGGGAACUAUGGCUUAUGUGGAGGUAUACCACAAUUGAACUUGCAUCCCUGCUCAAAUCAUACACCCAAGAAGUGGUCUCACAAGCUUGUCAUGUUGAUCUCAGUAGGCAGCGCAGUUUUUUGCAUCAUCUUAGUACUAUUUGCACUAUUUGCACGACGGAAAUUGAGAACGAAGUUUACAAAGACAAGACAGGUUCCAUCACUCCAUAGUGGACAGCAUAUGAGGGUUACCUAUGCUGAAUUAGUGAGAGCAACAAGUGGUUUUGCUUCUGAGAGCCUCGUAGGCACAGGAAGCUUCGGCUCUGUGUACAAAGGAACAAUGAUGAAUGGAGAUCAGGAAGUGAUUGUCGCUGUGAAGGUGCUCAACCUCCAGCAGCGAGGGGCAUCUCAAAGCUUUGUUGCUGAAUGUGAGACUUUAAGAUGCAUCAGACAUCGAAACCUUGUGAAGAUAUUGACUGUCUGCUCAAGUAUUGAUUUCAGGGGUCUAGACUUCAAAGCUCUCAUAUUUGAGUUCAUGCCAAAUGGAAAUCUUGAUCAAUGGCUACACAGCCGUCUCCUGGAAGAUGGGAGCCAUGGGGUGCUCAGUCUCACCCAAAGGAUAGACAUUGCCAUUGAUGUAGCUUCAGCACUCGAAUACCUUCACCACAAUAAGCCAGUGCCAAUAGUUCAUUGUGAUCUUAAGCCAAGCAAUAUUCUCCUCGAUAAUGACAAGGUUGCCCAUGUGGGUGACUUUGGACUUGCAAGGUUCUUGCAGCAGGAUGAUACUAGCCUCCCAGAGAUAUCAAGUGGCUGGGCUACAAGAAUGGGAACAAUUGGAUAUGCUGCCCCAGAGUACGGUCAAGGAAAUGAAGCCUCGGUCUAUGGUGAUACCUAUAGCUACGGAAUACUGUUGUUAGAGUUGCUCACUGGUAAAAGGCCAACUGAUGGUGAGUUUCUGCAAGAUCUAAACUUACAUAGCUACGUCGAGAUAGCACUUAGAGACCAAGCCACCAACCUGGUCGAUCUGUGCUUAUUAUCUUCACUGGAGGAAGGGACAAAAAUGCGAGCUGCAUGCAUCAAUUUAGUUCUGCACAUUGGGAUAUUAUGUUCGAAGGAACUGCCAACUGAUCGCAUGCAGAUUGGGGAUGCUACGAGAGAGCUACUGGCGAUCAGAGAUAAGUAUCGCAUGCACCUAUUGAGUAAAGGUGGGUCCAUCUAA
rnacentral:rRNA from 1 species